rnacentral:hammerhead_ribozyme from 1 species
GCACUACUGAGGAGUCCCACAAUAGGACGAAACAGCUGCCCAGUGC